UGAGGAAUAUUGGUCAAUGGGGGCAACCCUGAACCAGCCAAGUCGCGUGAAGGAUGAAGGUCUUAUGGAUUGUAAACUUCUUUUACACGGGAAUAAAGUGGGGGACGUGUCCCCCUUUGCAUGUACCGUGUGAAUAAGGAUCGGCUAACUCCGUGCCAGCAGCCGCGGUAAUACGGAGGAUCCGAGCGUUAUCCGGAUUUAUUGGGUUUAAAGGGUGCGCAGGCGGGAUGUUAAGUCGGCGGUGAAAUUUUGCAGCUCAACUGUAAAAGUGCCUUCGAUACUGGCCUACUUGAGUGUGGAUGAAGUAGGCGGAAUUUGUGGUGUAGCGGUGAAAUGCUUAGAUAUCACGAGGAACUCCGAUUGCGCAGGCAGCUUACUAAGCCACAACUGACGCUCAUGCACGAAGGCGUGGGGAUCAAACA
rnacentral:rRNA from 1 species